GAAGUUUGCUUCGAAGUUGAGGAAAUUUGAGGUAUUUAUUUCUAUGUUUCCCUAGAUAGUUUUCUUAAAAAAAAAUAGCUCCAAAUGUUUAAAUUUCUGAUUUGGUUAUAUUUCAGCUUUAUCGUUUAAUUGAGUUGGUUUUUUUAGUUUUAAAACGGAGUUUAAAUUAUCAUCUUUGCUUUUAAAGCUGUGGGUAUCGGUUUUAAUUAUCAUCUU
rnacentral:lncRNA from 1 species